rnacentral:rRNA from 1 species
GGCGAACGCUGGCGGCGUGCCUAAUACAUGCAAGUCGAACGAGAGCGACCGGUGCUUGCACUGGUCAAUCUAGUGGCGAACGGGUGAGUAACACGUGGGUAACCUGCCCAUCAGAGGGGGAUAACAUCCGGAAACGGAUGCUAAAACCGCAUAGGUCUUCGAGCCGCAUGGCUUGAAGAGGAAAAGGGGCGCAAGCUUCUGCUGAUGGAUGGACCCGCGGUGCAUUAGCUAGUUGGUGAGGUAACGGCUCACCAAGGCCGUGAUGCAUAGCCGACCUGAGAGGGUGAUCGGCCACAUUGGGACUGAGACACGGCCCAAACUCCUACGGGAGGCAGCAGUAGGGAAUCUUCCGCAAUGGACGCAAGUCUGACGGAGCAACGCCGCGUGAGUGAAGAAGGUUUUCGGAUCGUAAAACUCUGUUGUUAGAGAAGAACAAGUGCUAGAGUAACUGUUAGCGCCUUGACGGUAUCUAACCAGAAAGCCACGGCUAACUACGUG